UCAAAGUGAUCUCCCGCAGGCGGACUGCCA
rnacentral:sRNA from 1 species